AAUAAAUACAUUUGUAAAUUUCUAUAUUGAACGUUUAACAGUCUAUCUUAUUUAUUAUUUUUUUAUAAUUAAUUACUAGAUGAUAAAGCAUGAAUAUUACUUUAUGCGUGACUUAUUUUUCUUAAUAUUUUUUGUAAAUUUUUAAGUAAUAUAGACUGUUAAACAUUGGACAUAAAAACUCACGAAUAAACUUAUU
rnacentral:pre_miRNA from 1 species